rnacentral:misc_RNA from 1 species
GAUGAAGAACGUAGCGAAAUGCGAUAAGUAAUGUGAAUUGCAGAAUUCAGUGAAUCAUCGAAUCUUUGAACGCACAUUGCGCCCGCCAGUAUUCUGGCGGGCAUGCCUGUUCGAGCGUCAUUUCAACCAUCAAGCCCCCGGCUUGUGUUGGGGACCUGCGGCUGCCGCAGGCCCUGAAAAGCAGUGGCGGGCUCGCUGUCACACCGAGCGUAGUAGCAUACAUCUCGCUCUGGGCGUGCUGCGGGUACCGGCCGUUAAACCACCUUCAUAACCCAAGGUUGACCUCGGAUCAGGUAGGAAGACCCGCUGAACUUAAGCAUAUCAAUAAGCGGAGGA